rnacentral:tRNA from 1 species
AAGUCCAGGGUCUAUAAAAACCUUUUGGGGAUUUGCACUCCGCGUACUGAACUA